rnacentral:rRNA from 1 species
CCAGGAGACAGGUGCUGCAUGGCUGUCGUCAGCUCGUGUCGUGAGAUGUUGGGUUAAGUCCCGCAACGAGCGCAACCCUUAUCUUAAUUGCCAGCAUUCAGUUGGGCACUUUAAAGAGACUGCCGGUGUUAAACCGGAGGAAGGUGGGGAUGACGUCAAGUCCUCAUGGCCUUUAUGCUUAGGGCUACACACGUGCUACAAUGGGUGGUACAAAGAGAAGCCAACUCGCGAGAGCGCGCCAAUCUCAAAAAGCCAUCCUCAGUUCGGAUUGGAGUCUGCAACUCGACUCCAUGAAGUUGGAAUCGCUAGUAAUCGCAGAUCAGCACGCUGCGGUGAAUACGUUCCCGGGCCUU